rnacentral:rRNA from 1 species
AUUGAACGCUGGCGGCAUGCCUUACACAUGCAAGUCGAGCGGUAACAGGUCUUCGGAUGCUGACGAGUGGCGAACGGGUGAGUAAUACAUCGGAACGUGCCUAGUAGUGGGGGAUAACUACUCGAAAGAGUGGCUAAUACCGCAUGAGAUCUACGGAUGAAAGCAGGGGAUCGCAAGACCUUGUGCUACUAGAGCGGCCGAUGGCAGAUUAGGUAGUUGGUGGGAUAAAAGCUUACCAAGCCGACGAUCUGUAGCUGGUCUGAGAGGACGAUCAGCCACACUGGGACUGAGACACGGCCCAGACUCCUACGGGAGGCAGCAGUGGGGAAUGUUGGACAAUGGGCGAAAGCCUGAUCAAGCAAUGCCGCGUGCAGGGUGAAGGCCUUCGGGUUGUAAACUGCUUUUGUACGGAACGAAAAGCCCCGGGUUAAUACCCUGGGGUCAUGACGGUACCGUAAGAAUAAGCACCGGCUAACUACGUGCCAGCCGCCGCGGUAA